rnacentral:tRNA from 1 species
AAGAUACUAGUAAAAUUGACUAUUACAUUGCCUUGUCGAGACAAAAUUGUGGGUUUAAACCCCGCGUGUUUUA